ACCAUGCUCUGAAAUUUAGAUGGGUUGGAGGAUUGCUAGUUCCUGCUACAUAAUCAGAAUAAUGCUUGGGUUAUUCCUCAAGGAUGCCGGACAGGGGGACACUACUUACAGUAGAGAUCAUAUGUUAAAUGCAGACAAUGCUGUUGAUUUAUGAGAAUUAUCGAUGUACCUAGUGGAUCCCCGAUCAUGUAUCUGUUCCUAUCAAUGCAAAUGCUGAGCCAUGUUCCAUUUUUACUUCCCUGCAUCAUAUUUUUAUACUGCCUGAGGGGGUUAAGUACAGCAGUUUUGAGCUUCUACAGUUUCAAUGGGCUUCAGAGUUCCACCUUUUGUGUAUUAUCUAAUUAUCGAAUAACAAUACUCUGAAGUGUAGAGAUUGCUAGUUCCUGCUAUGUAAUCAUAAGAAUGCUUGGGUUAUCACUCAGGCCUCGUUUGGUUAAGGAGGAUUGGGGAGGUUUUGAGAGGAAAAUCCCUGAAAGGGCCAGAAACCCCACAGAUCCUCGGGCGCCCAUUUGGUAGGAGGGGUUUGCUUAGCCCAAUCCCCUCCGUUCCCCUUCAAUCCCUUUCUAUCCAUGUGUUUCAAAACCCUCCUCGGGAGACUAGUGGAAGCAAAGCCCCGGGGAUUUGAGAGGAUUGGGUGGAACAAAGGGAUUCACCCAAUCCCCUGAAAUCCCUCCCUCUCAAAACCUCCCCAAUCCCCCUUAACCAAACGAGGCCUCAAGGAUGCCGGACACUAUUUACGGUUCAGAUAAUAUGUUAGAUGCAGAAUUAUCGAUCUACCUACUCUACUGGAUGCCCAUGGUUCGAUCGUAUGUCUGUUCCCAUGGAUGCAAACGCUGAGCCAUGUUCCAUUUUUACUAUUCUGUGUGAUAGUUUUUGCACUUUACUUGCCAUCUUAAGGCGGGCCCCCUUUUAACAUUUAAUAAUGAGUUUGCUGCUCAUUAAUGUAGAAAAUAAGAGCUCAGAACCUGCAUCUCUAACUCUCCGUCGAUGAUUAAGAAGCUCAUUGUUUGUCUAAUUUUCGUAAUUUGCAUGUGUUGCCUUGAAGAUCAUUGUUAUGUCUAAGGUUUUUGUUACUUACUCACUUUGCUACUGCAGCAUGUCCCUAAAACAAAUGGAGACAUUCCUUCUUUUGAUGAAGCCUUUUCAGAUCACCGAAGACUUCUCGACAGGUAAAUGCUCCCGCAGUAUACGUGUCACCCCAUAAAUCUAUAUAUGAAGACAUGUUCUGUAUGUCUGUGCUCCGUGGUAGGUCUUUUCAGAUUGUCUGUCAUUUGAUCCCAAUAUGAUCUCUUAUUUAGGUUGGUGCUGUAUGGCCUGGUUGAACUCAAGGUUAACGGAGAUGGCAAUUGUCAGGUAUAUUUACAGGAUUCAGUUCUCUGUUUACUUUUCUAGAAUGGCAUAUUUAGUAUCAUCGGUAUCUCUCUCUGAACCUUCCUGUUAAACAGUUUCGGGCAUUGUCUGAUCAAUUCUACCGAACUCCCGAACAUCAUAGAUUUGUGCGGCAACAGGUGGUUAAUCAGGUUAGUAUUAUCAAAGUGACUACCUCUAUCAGUUUUCCUUCUUAAAGUUAAGAGCCAGGCUAUAAGAAUGAUUUUGUCGGUCGACACAGCUAUGGGAGCUGGUUGCAUUUCUCUGUAUUAUUAUUACGAAGAUGAAAAUUGUCCUUGUCGAUUCCUCAAAAAAAUUUUUGUCCUUGUCAGAUUUACUUGUUCUCACAUUGAUGUUUCAAUUCACAGCUUGAGUCUCAUCCUGAGAUAUAUGCUGGAUAUGUCCCUAUGGACUACAGAGAUUAUCUUAAGAAGAUGCCAAAGUCAGUGCCUGCUCUUUUUCUACCAUUAAUUUAUUUGCUCAUUGUUAUAUAAUUAGUGUGUAAAGAAGAUGCACAUUCUAACUUUUUGUAAUAAUAUGCUUACGGAACCAACUAGGAAUGGAGAGUGGGGUGACCAUGUUACACUGCAGGCUGCUGCAGACUUGGUAAGCAUGAUUCUUCCUUCCCGGCCCUACGUAUUAUAUUACCCAUCUUUCAGCACCUGAACAUUCUCAAUCUAUGCAGUGCAUGUAGUACAUGAUUGACUAAUAAUUUAGUUUUGACUGCCAUUCUAUCAGAAUAGCUACAUCUCAGUUUCAAUCAUAAAUAGGUCAAUUAUAAACUGAACUAUUGCUGAUAUCCGAGAUCUUAGAUUUUAUACCCUGUUGAUCUUUCUGUCCAACUUUCUGAUCCUCCUAUCCCCACCGUGGUGAAGUUUGGUUUAAUCUUGAACUCAUACGGUGGUCAAUAUCAAACCCUAACGGCCUAACCUCCUAAUGCCUGAAAAUCGACACCCUAAACUCAUAAAUUCCCAGUCCUUACUUCCAACGACUCGUUUUUAGACCGGAAUUGCCGACGUGGGCAUGGUUAAUGAUGGGAUCAUGGACUAAAUUUGACUUUGCAAAUUCAUGAGGCCAACUUGAACCUUAGCUCUGCGAACAACACCGACAUUGUCCUGGAUGUCGUUUGACUAUUCUCCGUUCGUGGACAUGGCUGCGGUGGCGACCUACUCGUCGUUCGCACUUGUCCAACGACUUGUUGUGGGCGGCCAUUCACGUGUUCUCGGUGUUCUCCAUGCACCGCUGCUUGGGCCCAUGGACUUCCAAGCUGGUUUGGCGGGCCCGAGUGACGACAUCGGCACAAUGUACCUAUGUCGCUCUAGAUCUUGGAGGUCUCGUGCCUAUACGCGAUGAAGGUGGUGGGUUGGCGUGUCCUGGCGAAGAAGCACAAACUUGAGCUUGUUGCGCCGGCAAAGGGCAUCCUCUGGCUGCUUAACCACUUGUUCCUCCCCACACUCUUUGCCGACUUCAGUCUCGUUCUACGCUUGUCGUGCAUCAUCUUGAGUUCUUAUGUGGCGACGACCUCCACUCCCUUUGCCAUUGCAUGCUCACCGCGCCGCCGAGGAGGGGGGGGGGAGGUCCGACAACGCGUACUGCUUUCUGGUGUGUUUCAAGCGACAAAGGCAUCAUUGGCGGUGUGAAGCGUCUCCCUCAUGGAUCGGGGCGGCACUGGCGUUGGUGUGGGUGUGCACGUUCAUCGGUACACACGAUUAUGUGGCGUCAAAGAUGGUAGGAUGGGCCAGCAUGGCACCGUCGUGGACUGGUGGGUUUAUGGUGUGUUCCUUUAAGAGCUCCUUCACUGGCACCACCAAUGAGAACAUACUUUAGAACAUUGUGUGUCCGCUCCUACUUUCCCUUCCUCCUCCCUCGUUUGCCACGCUGAGAUCAUUAUGACACGUGACUUCAUCGCCCAUCGUGGGGCCAUGCCAUGACGUUGCCGACAUUAAGGCGCACCCUUUCUACAUGAACUUCAAUGCCACACUCUCCACUCCUCAUGGCCGCCCGUUGCCCCUCACGUACCAUUUCAUCGGUCGCAGCUCCUGCAAGACGAAUCCCUAUUUCAACCUCUUUUGAGUUUCUAAUAACGACGUCGUCGCCCCCCCGAGCCACUGGUGGUCACCGAAGACAAACCCCUGAAAACGUCGUCGGACCCUGUGGGACACACUUCCACUGACACGUCUAAACCAGUGACUCUGGAAUCCCCGAUGGCAUGUCUACAACCCAUGUUUGGAACACAAAUGUGCUACUUACUGGAAUUGUCGAUUUCCUAGAUUGGGAGGCUAGGGUUCAAUUCCAACUAGGCGUAAGUCUGUUUCCAAACAGGAAUUAUGGACGUGGCACGCCUAGUUGGAAUUGAACCCUAGCUCCCAAUCUAGGAAAUCGAUAUUCGAGAUUGGAAGGUUAGGGUUCAAUUCCAACCAGGCGUAUUGUUCUCGGUCAGUGUGUCCAAACCGGCUGGCCCCACCAGUCAGCCAGUGGCGCACGGGGCCACCAUCCACCCCACGUGAACCGCACGCACCACCCAUACCAUAGUAGUAGCCUGGCGGCCCCCUUCCUUCCUUAUCCCCGCCUCCACCACCCGCCGCCGCCGCCAUUUACUCCACCACCACCCCCUCCCUCAAUCUUUCCACUACCCAGAUCCAGAUCCAAACCGAGGGGGAUUCACGCGAUGGAGGCCGCGAGGAAGAGCGCGCCGGGGCAGCCGUGGUCGCACGGCGACACGAUGCACCUCAUCGACGUCUACGAGGACCGCUGGACCAAGCUGCGCCGAGGCCAGCUCAAGGCGCACCAGUGGGAGGACGUGGCCGCCGAGGUCACCCACCUCUGCGGCGGCCAGCGCAAGACCGGCACCCAGUGCCGCCACAAGCUCGAGAAGCUCCGCAAGCGCUACCGCACCGAGGCCGCCCGCCCCGUCACCUCCCUCUGGCCCUUCUUCCGCCGCAUGGAGCGACUCGAGCGCGGCCCCGUACCCACCGCCACCAACUCCUUCGCCGCAUCCCCGCCCCACUCCGACGACGACCACGACCACCACCACCUGGAGGAGGACCAAGGCCUGGAGGAGGACCAGGAGGAGGAAGAAGAUGAAGAAGAAGAAGAAGAAGAAGAAGAGGAAGAGGAGGAGGAGGAGCAGCUGCUCGUCGCCAGGAACAGCACCAGGAGCAUCAACGGCCUCGUGCGCGACGGCGGCGGCUUCAGGGGCGGCUUCGCCCCUCGCCAGCAGUCUCCGCCCGCCGUCACGCUGUCCACCGCGCCUCCGCGCAAGAGGGUCUCCUACGAGGCCGCCGCGUUCCAGUCCAAGGCCGCCGCUGCAGAAAGGAUCAAGGCUGAAGAGGCUCCGGCAGUUGACAGCCACUCCGUCGCAGGCGUGCUGAGGGACAUCGGCGAGGGAAUCAAGCGGCUGGAGAGGCGGAGAAUGGAGGUACAGUGGGAGAUUGAGCGGGGCUGGAAGGAGACGGAGGCCCGCAAUAAUCAGAUGCUCCAGGACGCUCAGCGGCAGUUACAUGACGCCCUCGCCGCCCUGCCGCCGCUGGCUAAGAAGGCUAGAAGGGACAAUAGCAGCAGUGCAGACGGCUUGUAGUAAGCUAGCUAGCGAUCGCUCGAUCCCUACCGGGGGAUAGGUAGGUUGAAGCUGUUUAUUUUUCUUAUUAUCUGGUGGUAGUGAAGGGAGGCAAAAGAGAUUGUUCCUAGUCUUCAUCCUCUACUCAGGAUGUAUGUAUUUAGUACUCGUCGUGAACGAUUCUGACCAUUGUUGCUUACUUCGGUACGCAUGGCAAACCAUGCUUCUUACCACACCAGUUGCAUUCUGUCUCUACUUUGGUUGGUCAUUGCAGUGAUUGAUAUCUUUGACAAUUACUUUCCAUAAUUUAAUUGUAUGCCUGCCACCUGAUAUGAGUGAAAGAUCGUGACUUUUUGGGCAGCAUCUCUUAAAACCUCUUCUUUCUGUGUAAUCUCUUUGCAUUAUUACCAGUGGGCUGCUCAUGUCAUAUGAUUGCUCUGCUAAUUGUAUGGUACUGAAGUAUAUGAGUUGAUUUUCCUUUUCAGUAUGGUGUGAAGAUUUUCAUUCUGACAUCAUUCAGAGAUACAUGCUACAUUGAAAUUCUCCCAGUCGUUCAAAAAUCAAAUCGAGGUAAUGUGUGUUUGUCAGUGAUAUGUUCUUAUUGAGUUGAUCUGUAAGUUUCACCAAAUAUUUCGGUCUGUUUGUAUCUAAUAAGAUUUUCUUUCUUUCGUUCUGGACUCCAGUUAUAUGUUUGAGUUUUUGGGCUGAGGUACACUACAACUCGAUAUAUCCUGAAGGAGGUAUAUACAAUCUAUUCUAUCAUCGUUUGGAUAUCAUUUUACCCUUUUAUUGCCUUCGCUAUUGUAUCUCACCAUGCUGAUGAUGAUCUGCUGCAGAGUUGCCCGUCGCGGAGAACAGGAAGAAGAGGUGGUGGCACUUUUAGUUCUGGGCUUGUAGUGGUAAAACGCGACAGUAAGGAAAUAGAAGAUUUGAUUUGUUCUUUUGAUCUCAUGGCAGCUUGUCGGAUCAACGGUCGUUUUGUUCGACCAUGUGACAUGAGGGAGCUGCGAUGCCGUAGGACUGAAGAGACUGACUGACAGUUCAUUUGUACAUAUAUAUCAUCCAUCUGCACGGAGCUAAAAUAGGUGUCUGACUGAGCCUGUGAUAUGUGAUAUGAACAUUUGUUGUAGUACCUAAUAAUAUAUCUAUAUAUAGUAUUCUCAUCUUUCUAGUAGGGGUUAUGUCAAUGUUGGCAGAAAGUUUUGACAAAAUGACACUUGGUUUCCACUUUGACACAAAUGAGACACACCUUGUGUCACUGACAAGUGGCUUCAGAUCCCACAUGUCAGUGACACAGGACGUUUCAUUUGGGAUGUCUAUGGUGCAAGCCAUGCCAUUUUGUCAAAGCAAAACAAAAGUAAAUCAUUUUGUCAAAUUCCCUGGAAAUGGUGUGGUGUGUGGUCCUCAUGUUUUGCAAUUAAUUUAGGUUUUUUAAACCUCGAUUGUUAUACGGCAAAUUUUAUAUGCAUAAUAAGUACUUCCUCUGUCUCAAAAUAAGUAUCUCAACUUUAAUACAAUUUUACCUUUGUCUCAAAAUAAGUAUCUCAACUUUAGUACAACUUUGCAAUAAAGUUAGUACAAAUUUAAGACACUUAUUUUGAAACGGAUGGAGUAUAUCACAAAGAUGGGGAGGAAAAAGAGAAGAAAAAACCCAUCCUAGGCCUUAGCCAACAUCGGUUUUUGAAAGGAGGUUGCUAUAAAGCAGUCGGAUGAUUUUCUUAGAAAAUCAAUUGCCUGUUCAACCGUUCGAUUGGUGUGUUGGGGUCGUUGGGGGAAGCAAAACGCUAGAAGAUAAGAACGGUCUGGAUCACGCGGGAGGCUCGGUGAGCAGGACGCGUGGUUGGUCAGAGAGGCGACUGAUCUUUUCAGAAAAUCAUCAGGUUGAAUUUAAGUGAUUUCCUUUUUGAAAACAUGUUCAUCAUGUUGCUGAAAAUUAAGAGUGACACAUUGUUUGAAUUCUUUUGAAUAUUUAUCCUUUAGUUUGAUCCUAAGCUUCUUUAGGUCUUCCUUUAGAGUGAAUGCACCAUAUGGUAAUCUCCAUAUCAAAGUGAGGUUAUCAUUGGCCAAAAGGUGUCCUCAAAACCUGAUGUGCCUUUCUUAGGGGAUCAAAGAGGCCCACCAUAGUUGCAAUCCCAGACCGGGUGUAAAAGUAAUUCUUCAACAUUUAGGUCACAAUUUGGACAACAGGGGUCACCAAGCCGCAUUCGUCUUCGAAUCAACAUGGAUCUUGUACUAACUCUGUCAUGUGUCGCUACCCAAAAAAGAUUUUAUGUUUUGCCUGCUAGAAGUGCUCUAGAUGUUUGUACAUUUUCAUUGAAGAGUAGUUAUUUCAUUGUCCCAAACACUGCCACUUGUCUUCUUGUGAUGGAGUCAAUUGAGGUGUAAUAUCAGGCAGUUGAAGGAAUUGUUCAUGAGCUUAGACAAAAAGACGAGGGUGGAAGUGUUCAACCCAAUCUUGUUGAUCAACAAAGACUUUAAGUGAAAUAACCUCGUCCUUGGCAAAUGAAUGAAUUUCAGUGAACUUUCGUUGUAGUGGCUCUUCAGUCCAAUUUUCAGUCUAGAGCUGAGUGGCAUUGUGAGAAUUUACAAUACAUUUGGAUGCUUGUUUGAAAGUUUGAAGCAGGUUGAGAUGAGUUUUUCACCAGAAAGAGCCUUCUUUUUCAUCCAGAGGGGGAGUGGAAGAGUAGCGCACUUCCCAAAUAUGCUUCACCCGUGACAAGUCCUCUUUAUUGUAGAGUUUGUGCAAAAUCCUCAUGAGUAGUGCUUUGUUGUGCUCAAUGAUGUCUAAGAUGCCUAAUCCUUCAUUUGGCUUGCUGACCUUAUGCCACUAGAGCAAUUCCACUUUCUUCUCUACCAAAUUUUCUCCAUAAGUGUCUCGGGUAUUUCUGAAGCUCGUUGAUGACUCCAACUGGCAAGGCUAAUGUGCACAUGAAGAAAGUUGGCAAGGCUAAUGUGCAUAUGAAGAAAGUUGGUAAGGCCGAGAAGACAGAUUUGAUUAAAAAGCAACCUACCAUCAUAAGAGAGUAAGGUAUGUAGAGCAUCAUGGAAGCCUUGUUUACGCUCUUUGCAUGAUGGGGGCAAAAGUCAUCAAUUUUCAGUUGUGCACAACCCUAGAUAGGUGAAGGGAAACUUGCCCUAUUGACACCCCAAGAUUGCAAGCAGGCCAACACACUGAAUCAUCGGGUAUGUUGACUUUGAGUCCAGUGUAGUCAGCAUGGUGGAGGAUGGGGUUCUUGAUUUGCAAGAGGUGAGAGGGAACUGCUGGGAGAACUAGAACGGUAUAAUCUGCUUAUUGACUUACAUGGAACUCGGGGCAGGAAAAUCUCGCUAGAGGGGAAUGGAUGAACUGGUUAUGCAUGGCCUCAUUAAGGAUGCAUUGCAGCAGAUUAGCAGCUAGCACAAAGAUAAUGGGGGGUAGAGGGUCCCCUUCCGUGACCCCCCCCCCUUUCAGUGGAUUUUUUGUGAGGUGCUACAUUUAGAAGGACGUAAGGUGUGCCAGUGAUGAAGAUUAUCUUCAUCCAAUUAAUCCACCUCUCACCAAAACCUCUGGCUUGCAAAAUUUAUAGAAUGGUAUUGUGCCCAAUAAGGUCAAAGGCCUUUUCAAAGUCCAGUUAACAAUGAUUGGAUGCUUAGAUUGAUGGCAUUAAUUAAGGUACUAAAAAUCCCAAGCAAAACAAUCUUGAAUUGUUUGACUUUUAGGGAAGCCAUGUUGAUUUGGGUGCACAUGUUUAAAAAUCGCCCUUUGAAGUCUAUCGGCCAGCAACUUUGUGAGGAUUUUGAUAGUGCAAUUCAAAACGGAUAUAGAUCUGAAGUCAUUCACUAGUAGAAAACAUGUCUUUGGACCGAAGCAUUAGUCCCGGUUGUCUUUUGGACUGGGGAUAAUGCUGUCACUAGUCCCGGUUCAUGAGGCUAGGCUUUAGUCCCGGUUUGUGAGUAACCUCUAGUCCCGGUUUGUGUUACCAACCGGGACUAAAGGGGUAGUGGCAGAUUGGUGUCAGGCUGGGGCCGUGCGAACCCCUUUAGUCCCGGUUUGUAACACCAAACGGGACUAAAUAUAUCCCUAUAUAUAGAUGCUUGUUCCAGCCCGAGCUCAUCCUCUCCAUUCUAUUUUUUCUCUUCCCCUUCUCGAUCUCAUCCCUCCAUUUUUGCCAAAAUUUGUCAAGAUUGGAGGCACCCCAUCUAUUCAAGUAUUCAUAAAGGUUAGCACCUUUGCCCUUUCAUCUCUCAUUGCUAGAUUAGCUCGUUCAAUACUCUAUAAGAAUAGUGAUUUGUGGGUUCUAGUUUGGGAGUAAUUAUGUGGGAGUUUAUUUAAUUUAUAUGCAAUUUGAGCUUGAAUUAACUUCUUAGUUUGCAUCUCUAUAGGUGUGGUUUACUUUGCGCCUUCUCGUCCGAGUCCUAACCGUCGUCGAUCGCCCGCUACGUCUCAUCGCUAGCACCACCUUGGUGAUCCUCUUGUUCUUAUCUUUUUUAUACAAAAAAUCUUAUUUGUAUGAUUUAGAUAGUUUUCUUACCUGUAUGAUUGUUUGUUAUACAUAGUGCCAUGGUCUUGAUAUUCGUCCCCGUUGAUCCUCGUCCGGUUUAUGAUUCAGAUGUGGUAUAUUCUCUUUUAUAACUAUUUGUUGCAUUUCUCGUUUAUGACAAUUAUGCCCAUUAAUUUGAUAUAGAUAUUUUUAUCUAGGAGGUAUGUGAACCGGAAAUUAUGCCGUUAAUAAAGAGGCUUGGUAUAACUAUGAUGUUGGAUCAAUUGUUACCUUAGUUGCGAUCUUGAUUGCAUUUGUUGUUGCAUUUAAAUGCUUUAUCUAAGUACUUUUGUAUGUUGUUUUAUAAGAAUAAGUGUGUAUGAAAUUGUAUUAAUUUGGUUUUUUCGGUCUUGUGUAAUGAAGAUGAACCGGCAAUGGAUGUACGAUGACUGACACUCUCCCCAGUUCAUUGACGGCGUGCAGAGUUUUCUGCAUGCGGUCGAGGCAAACCAGCGGGAUGGUUCUAUGUGUUGUCCAUGUGCUGUUUGUAAGAAUGUUAUCACUUACUCUAAGUCAAGGGUCAUUCACGUCCAUCUGUUUAGGGCCAGCGCCCCUGGAAGAUGAUUGUUACCAAGGUGAUUUGGUAUACUCCUAUAAUACCACAGUUGAAAUGUUUGUUUCAAAAGAAAGAGUAUGCCAAGUUGAUGUGAUGUCACAAAGAAGACCGUAAGAAAGACGGGAAGUUGAGAGUACCUGCUGUUGGGUCGCACUAGAGGAAAAUCGAGAGGAAGUGGGGGAACUUUGCACAUGACGCAAGAAACGUAUGGUUUGCUGCAAACAUAAUUUUUUCAUGCAUUUAAUGUUUUUUAAGCUCAAUGACCCUGAAAUUGAAAAACACUACAAAUGAACUCUGAAAAAGCUGAAACUUGACAUGGUAUCAUCAUUUCAUUCAUAUAACAUGUGUUAAAAAGUUGAGAGGGUUACGACAAAACUUGGAUGCAUUUUGUAUACAUUCUAGACAAUCUCUUUCGAAGUAUGAGGGUUUCGGACGAAUACUCAUCUCUUACAAAAGCAUUUUAUUUUUUUUAACUUAUUUCAACUUCAGACUUUUUGUACGCUCAAUAUGCACCAUUAAAAGCCAUGUCAUAAAUUUUCAACCCUUUCUCACAUUAUUUUUUAUUUUUCAUGCAUUUAACGAUUAUUGUUUUUGAGCUAAAUGAUCCUGAAAUUAAAAAGCACUCCAAAUGAACUCAAAAAGGCUGAAACUUGGCAUGGUAUCAUCAUUUUACUCACAUAGCAUGUGCUAACAAGUUAAGAGGGUUACGGCAAAAACUGAAUGCACUUCGUGUACAAACUGGAUAAUCUUUUUCAAAGUAUGAGGGUUUGGAACGAAUACUCAUCUCUUACAAAGGCAUUUUAUUUUUUUAAACUUAUUUCAACUCCACACUUUUUGUAAGCUCAAUAUGCAUCACUCAAAGUCACGUCAUCAAUUUUCAACCAUUUCUCACUUCAUUUACUAUUUUCAUGCAUUUAAUGAUUUUUUGAUCUACAUGACACUGAAAUUGAAAAGCACUAUAAAUGAACUCUGAAAAGACUGAAACUUGGCAUGAUAUCAUCAUUUCACUCACAUAACAUGUGCUAAAAAGUUGAGAGGGUUACGACAAAAACUGGAUGCACUUCGUGUACAAACUGGACAUUCUGUUUCGAAGUAUGAGAGUUUCGCACGAAUACUCAUCUCUUAUAAAGGCAUUUCAUUUUUUUACUUAUUUCAACUCUAGACUUUUUGUAAGCUCAAUAUGCACCAUUCAAAUCCACGUCGUUAACUUUCAACCAUUUCUCACUUCAUUUGUUACUUUUCAUGCAUUUAAUGGUUUUUUUUGAGUUAAAUGACCCUGAAAUUGAAAAGCACUACAAAUGAACUUUGAAAAGGCUGAAACUUGGCAUGGUAUCAUCAUUUUACUCACAUAUCAUGUGCUAAAAAGUUGAGAGGGUUACGACAAAAACUGGAUGCACUUCGUGUACAAACAAGACAAUCUCUUUCGAUGUAUGAGGAUUUCAGACGAAAACUCAUGUGUUACAAAGGCAUUUCAAUUUUAAAAUAACAUAGAAAUUACCAAACUUAGUAUAAUGAUAAAACACACUAAUAUUAAAAAUCAGGAAAAAACACUAAAAAAUCUAUUUCUAAAGUAAAGUUAUUCAUGAACUAGUGAUUCACACAAAUUUCAAAAGAAUUCAAAUUUAAACUAUGUAAAUUUAUAGUUUACAUAGUGAUUCACACAAAUUUAAACUAUGAACUACUAGCACUAACAAAGAGUUUGUAAUUUUUUGGUCCUAAAGCAAAAAAGUUUCAUUCAAAAAUUAUAAAUAGUCUAACAGUUAAUACAAAUCUAAAAACAUAAAUUGUCCUCUUUAGAAAAACAAAACAAACCACAAAAGAGAAAAUAGACCUUUAGUCGCGGUCAGACCUGGCCAAAUGGGCCGGCCCGGCACGGCACGGCCCGGCCCACCAUAAUCGUGCCAGGCACGGCACGACACACCUGGGCCCGAUUAUUAGCCGGGCAGNNNNNNNNNNNNNNNNNNNNNNNNNNNNNNNNNNNNNNNNNNNNNNNNNNNNNNNNNNNNNNNNNNNNNNNNNGGCCGGCCCACCGGCGCAGCCUCCCGGCCCAGGCACGACAUGGAGGUUAUACGGGCCGGCCCGUAGGCACACCAGGCCCGCUAGCGUGUUAGUUUUUUUGGGCUGAUUUUAGCCUGUUAGGCUCUUUUUUGGCCUAUUUUGAUAUAUUGGGCUGUGUUUUGGCCCGAUUUUGGCCUAUUAUAUUAUUUUUUAUCCUAUAUAUAUAAAAAUAAGUAAAAAACAUAAAUGGGUCGUGCCGUGCCGGCCCGCGUGCCUCGCCCUCAGGCCCAGGCACGGCCCGAGGCGUGCCGCGUGCUUGGCAUGGCCUGUUUAAAUCGUGCCGGGCCGGGCCCGUGUCGUGCCGUCGUGGCGGGCUGGCGGGCCGACCUGUUUAUCCCGGCCCGUUUGGCCAGGUUUGGUCGCGGUUGGAUCCACCAAACGGGACUAAAGUCCCUUCCCAUGCGGAAUUUGAGCCGCUGAAAAAGAGACCUUCAGUCCCGGUUGGUGCAACCAACUGAGACUAAAGGUCUUUGUAUAUAAACAAGACUUAGCCAAUUCUUCCCAACCUCUCCCAUCCCCCCUACGCCGCCGGCCUGCCCCAACGCCGCCCUCGAAUCGGUCCUUGUCGUCACCGCCCCCGACGCCGCCCGCCCGCGUGCCACCUCUGUGUUGGAAUUAUGCCCUAGAGGCAAUAAUAAAUAUAGUUAUUAUNNNNNNNNNNNNNNNNNNNNNNNNNNNNNNNNNNNNNNNNNNNNNNNNNNNNNNNNNNNNNNNNNNNNNNNNNNNNNNNNNNNNNNNNNNNNNNNNNNNNUCCAGAUAUAAUGUUCAUGCUCAACGCAGGCACUAAAUAACAAUGUUUCAAGUUUAUAACUAAUCCUGAUGGUAACUGAAGUGAAACUGUGCCGAAGGCGAUUGCAUCAACCUUGGAACCAUUUCCUACGCGCAUCGUCAAUUCAUCUUUCGCCAGCCUUCGUCUAUUAUGCAGUUCCUGUUUCGAGUUGCAAAUAUGAGCAACAGAACCGGUAUCGAAUACCCAGGCACUACUACGAGAGCCGGUUAAGUACACAUCAAUAACAUGUAUAUCAAAUAUACCUGAUUUUUCUUUGGCCGCCUUCUUAUCUGCCAGAUACUUGGGGCAAUUGCGCUUCCAGUGACCCAUACCCUUGCAAUAGUAACACUUCGUUUCAGGCUUAGGUCCAGCUUUGGGUAUUGCGCUACCACUGACCCAUACCCUUGCAAUAGUAACACUCUGUUUCAGGCUUAGAUCCAGCUUUGGGUUUCUUUGUCGGAUUGGCAACAGGCUUGCCGCUCUUCUUUGAUUUACCCUUCUUGCCUUUGCCGUUUCUCUUGAAACUAGUGGUCUUAUUCACCAUCAACACUUGAUGCUCUUUACGGAGUUCAGACUCUGCGACUUUCAGCAUCGCAAACAACUCGCCGGGUGACUUGUGCAUCCCUUGCAUGUUGUAGUUCAACACAAAGCCCUUAUAGCUUGGCGGCAGUGAUUGAAGGAUUCUGUCAGUGAUAGCCUCUUACGGGAGUUCAAUCCCCAGCACAGUGAUGGAAGGAUUCUGUCAGUGAUAGCCUCUUGCGGGAGUCAAAUCCCCAGCUCAGCUAGACGGUUUGAGUACCCAAACAUUUUGAGCACAUGUUCACUGACAGACGAGUUCUCCUCCAUCUUGCAAGCAUAGAAUUUAUCGGAGAUCUCAUACCUCUCGAUCCGGGCGUUCUUCUGAAAGAUAAACUUCAACUCCUGGAACAUCUCAAAUGCUCCAUGACGCUCAAAACGACGUUGAAGUCCCGGUUCUAAGCCAUACAAGAAUGCACAUUGAACUACGAGUAGUCCUCCUUACGUGCUAACCAAGCGUUCUUAACAUCCUGGUCAGCCGUAGCGGGUGGUUCAUCUCCUAGCGCAGCAUUAAGUACAUAAUCCUUCUUCCCAUCUUGUAAGAUUAGCUUAAGAUUACAAGCCCAGUCUACAAAGUUGCUUCCAUCAUCUUUCAACUUAGCUUUNNNNNNNNNNNNNNNNNNNNNNNNNNNNNNNNNNNNNNNNNNNNNNNNNNNNNNNNNNNNNNNNNNNNNNNNNNNNNNNNNNNNNNNNNNNNNNNNNNNNAACAUGUAUAUCAAAUAUACCUGAUUUUUCUUUGGCCGCCUUCUUAUCAGCCAGAUACUUGGGGCAGUUGCGCUUCGAGUGACCCAUACCCUUGCAAUAGUAGCACUCUAUUUCAGGCUUAGGUCCAGCUUUGGGUUUCUUCGUCGGAUUGGCAACAGGCUUGCUUCUCUUCUUUGAAUUACCCUUCUUGCCUUUGCCGUUUCUCUUGAAGCUAGUGGUCUUAUUCACCAUCAACACUUGAUGCUCUUUACAGAGUUCAGACUCUGCGACUUUCAGCAUCGCAAACAACUCGCCGGGUGACUUGUGCAUCCCUUGCAUGUUGUAGUUCAACACAAAGCCCUUAUAGCUUGGCGGCAGUGAUUGAAGGAUUCUGUCAGUGAUAGCCUCUUACGGGAGUUCAAUCCCCAGCUCAGCUAGACAGUUUGAGUACCCAGACAUUUUGAGCACAUGUUCACUGACACACGAAUUCUCCUCCAUCUUGCAAGCAUAGAAUUUAUCGGAGGUCUCAUACCUCUCGAUCCGGGCGUUCUUCUGAAAGAUGAACUUCAACUCCUGGAACAUCUCAUAUGCUCCAUGACGCUCAAAGCGACGUUGAAGUCCCGGUUCUAAGCCAUACAAGAUUGCACAUUGAACUACUCAGUAGUCCUCCUUACGUGUUAACCAAGCGUUCUUAACAUCCUGGUCAGCCGUAGCGGCUGGUUCAUCUCCUAGCGCAGCAUUAAGGACAUAAUCCUUCUUCCCAGCUUGUAAGAUUAGCUUAAGAUUACGAGCCCAGUCUACAAAGUUGCUUCCAUCAUCUUUCAACUUAGCUUUCUCUAGGAAUGUAUUAAAAUUCAGGGUGACUGUCGCGUGAGCCAUGAUCUACAACACAAAUAUAUUCAAAGUGGACUUAGACUAUGUACAAGAUAAUUAGAGUUUAACUUAAUCAAAUUACUCGCUAAACUCCCACUCAAAAAGUACAUCUCUCUAGUCAUUUGAGUGGUUCAUGACCCACUUACACUAGCUGAAGUUUGAUCAUCACGUGAGUUGAGUAUAGUUUCAGUGGUAAGCAUCCCUAUGCUAAUCAUAUCAUCUAUAUGAUUCAUGAUCAACUUUUCCGUCUCAUGUGUUCCGAGGCCAUGUCUGCACAUGCCAAGCUCGUCAAGCUUAACCCGAGUGUUCCGCGUGUACAACUGUUUUGCACCCGUUGUAUGUGAACGUUGAGUCUAUCACACCCGAUCAUCACGUGGUGUCUCGAAACGACGAACUGUAGCAAUGGUGCACAGUCAGGGAGAACACAAUUUCGUCUUGAAAUUUUGGUGAGAGAUCACCUCAUAAUGCUACCAUCGUUCUAAGCAAAAUAAGGUGCAUAAAAGGAUUAACAUCACAUGCAAUUCAUAAGUGACAUGAUAUGACCAUCAUCAUGUGCUUCUUGAUCUUCAUCACCAAAGCACCGGCACGAUCUUCUUGUCACCGGCACCACACCAUNNNNNNNNNNUCACACCAUGAUCUCCAUCAUCAUGAUCUCCAUCAACGUGUCGCCAUCGGGGUUGUCGUGCUACUCAUGNNNNNNNNNNUCUUGAUCUUCAUCACCAAAGCACCGACACGAUCUUCUUGUCACCGGCGCCACACCAUGAUCUCCAUCAACGUGUUGCCAUCGGGGUUGUCGUGCUACUCAUGCUAUUACUACUAAAGCUACAUCCNNNNNNNNNNGAUCUCCAUCAACGUGUCGUCAUCGGGGUUGUCGUGCUACUCAUGCUAUUACUACUAAAGCUACAUCCNNNNNNNNNNUUCCUUUUGUCACCGGCGCCACACCAUGAUCAUCCAUCAACGUGUUGCCAUCGGGGUUGUCGUGCUACUUAUGCUAUUACUACUAAAGCUACAUCCUAGCAAAAUAGUAAACGCAUCUNNNNNNNNNNUAUCAAUGUGUCACCAUCCGGGUUGUCGUGCUACUCAUGCUAUUACUACUAAAGCUACAUCCUAGCAAAAUAGUAAACGCAUCUGCAAGCACAAACGUUAGUUUAAAGAACAACCCUAUGGCUCCUGCCGGUUGUCGUACCAUCGAUGUGCAAGUCGAUAUUAUCUAUUACAACAUGAUCAUCUCAUACAUCCAACAUAUCACAUCACAUCGUUGGCCAUAUCACAUCACAAUCAUACCCUGCAAAAACAAGUUAGACGUCCUCUAAUUUUGUUGUUGCAUGUUUUACGUGGUGACCAAGGGUAUCUAGUAGGAUCGCAUCUUACUUACGCAAACACCACAACGGAGAUAUAUGAGUUGCUAUUUAACCUCAUCCAAGGACCUCCUCGGUCAAAUCCGAUUCAACUAAAGUUGGAGAAACCGACACUUGCCAGUCAUCUUUGAGCAACGGGGUUACUCGUAACGAUGAAACCAGUCUCUCGUAAGCGUACGAGUAAUGUCGGUCCAAGCCNNNNNNNNNNCCAUGUUUUACGUGGUGACCAUAGGUAUCUAGUAGGAUCGCAUCUUACUUACGCAAACACCACAAUGGAGAUAUAUGAAUUGCUAUUUAACCUUAUACCGCUUCAAUCCAACAAUACCGCGGAAGCAAGAAAAGACUAAGGAGAGAAGCAAAACGCACAUCACCGCCCACAAAAACUUUUGUGUUCUACUCGAGAAGACAUCUACGCAUGAACNNNNNNNNNNGAACGGAGAUAUAUGAAUUGUUAUUUAACCUUAUACAAGGACCUCCUCGGUCAAAUCCGAUUCAACUAAAGUUGGAGAAACUGACACUUGCCAGUCAUCUUUGAGCAACGGGGUUACUCGUAGCGAUGAAACCAGUCUCUCGUAAGCGUACGAGUAAUGUCGGUCCAAGCCGCUUCAAUCCAACAAUACCGCGGAAUCAAGAAAAUACUAAGGAGGGCAGCAAAACGCACAUCACCUCCCACAAAAACUUUUGUGUUCUACUCGAGAAGACAUCUACGCAUGAACCUAGCUCAUGAUGCCACUGUUGGGGAACGUCGCAUGGGAAACAAAAUUUUCCUGUGCGCACGAAGACCUAUCAUGGUAAUGUCCAUCUACGAGAGGGGAUUUCCGAUCUACGUACCCUUGUAGAUCACACAACAGAAGCGUUAAGAAACGCGGUUGAUGUAGUGGAACGUCCUCACGUCCCUCGAUCCGCCCCGCGAACCGUCCCGUAAUCUGUCCCAUGAUCUAGUGCCGAACGGACGGCAUCUCCGCGUUCAGCACACGUACAGCUCGACGAUUAUCUCGGCCUUCUUGAUCCAGCAAGAGAGACAGAGAGGUAGAUGAGUUCUCCGGCAGCGUGACGGCGCUCCGUAGGUUGGUGGUGAUCUAAUCUCAGCACGGCUCCGCCCGAGCUCCGCAGAAACGCGAUCUAGAGGUAAAACCGUGGAGGUAUGUGGUCGGGCUGCCGUGGUAAAGUUGUCUCAAAUCAGCCCUAAAACCUCCGUAUAUAUAGGUGGGAGAGGGGGGCCUUGCCUUGAGGCUCAAGGAGCCCCAAGGGGGUCGGCCGAGCUAAGGGGGGGAGUCCUCCCCUCCAAACCAAAUCCAACUAGGUUUGGAAGGUGGGGUCCUUCCCCUUUUUCCCACCUCCUCUUUUUUUUUGCUUUUUCUCUUUGAUUUUCUUCCUAUGGCGCAUAGGGCCUUCUUGGGCUGUCCCACCAGCCCACCAAGGGCUGGUGUGCCACCCUCAAGGCCUAUGGGCUUCCCCGGGGUGGGUUGCCCCCCCGGUGAACACCCGGAACCCAUUCGUCAUUCCCGGUACAUUCCCGGUAACUCCGAAAANNNNNNNNNNNNNNNNNNNNNNNNNNNNNNNNNNNNNNNNNNNNNNNNNNNNNNNNNNNNNNNNNNNNNNNNNNNNNNNNNNNNNNNNNNNNNNNNNNNNUACAGUUCUGGUGUUGAUCAUGCUUUGGCCGUGGAAGAGGUUUAGUCAGCGGGUCUCCUACAUUCAGAUCCGUGUGCACUUUGCAUAUAUUUACAUCCUCCCCUUCGACGUAGUCGCGGAUGAGGUUGAAGCGUCGUUUGAUGUGUCUGGACUUCUUGUGAAACUGUGGUUCCUUUGCUAGGGCAAUGGCACCCGUGUUAUCACAAAACAAGGUUAUUGGAUUCAGUACGCUUGGCACUACUCCAAGAUCCGUCAUGAACUGCUUCAUCCAGACGCCCUCCUUAGCUGCCUCCGAGGCAGCCAUGUACUCCGCUUCACAUGUAGAAUCUGCUACGACGCUUUGCUUGGAACCGCACCAGCUUACGCACCCCCAUUAAGUGUUGGGGAACGUCGCAUGGGAAACAAAAUUUGUCCUACGCGCACGAAGACCUAUCAUGGUGAUGUCCAUCUACGAGAGGGGAUAUUGGAUCUACCUACCCUUGUAGACCGUACAGCAGAAGUGUUAGUGAACGCGGUUGAUGUAGUGGAACGUCCUCACGUCCCUCGAUCCGCCCCGCGAACCGUCCCGUAAUCUGUCCCAUGAUCUAGUGCCGAACGGACGGCAUCUCCGCGUUCAGCACACGUACAACUCGACGAUGAUCUCGGCCUUCUUGAUCCAGCAAGAGAGAUGGAGAGGUAGAUGAGUUAUCCGGCAGCAUGACGACGCUCCGGAGGUUGGUGGUGAUCUUAUCUUAGCAGGGCUCCGCCCGAGCUCCGCAGAAACGCGAUCUAGAGGUAAAACCGUGGAGAUAUGUGUCGGGCUGCCGUGGCAAAGUUGUGUCAAAUCAGCCCUAAAACCUCCUUAUAUGCAGGGGAAGAGGGGGAGCCUUGCCUUGGGGUCCAAGGACCCCCAAGGAUUUCGGCCGAGCCAAGGGGGGCAACCCUCCCCUUCCAAACCGAGUCCAACUAGAUUUGGAAGGAGGAGUCCUUCCCCAUUUUCCCACCUCCUCCUUUUUUUUAUUUUCUCUUUGAUUUUCUUCCUAUGGCGCAUAGGGCCUUCUUGGGCUGNNNNNNNNNNNNNNNNNNNNNNNNNNNNNNNNNNNNNNNNNNNNNNNNNNNNNNNNNNNNNNNNNNNNNNNNNNNNNNNNNNNNNNNNNNNNNNNNNNNNUCAGAACAAAUGGAUCUUUAAGAGGAACACAGACGCGGACGGCAAUGUGACCGUUUAUAAAGCUCGACUUGUGGCAAAGGGUUUUUCACAAGUUCAAGGAGUUGACUACGGUGAGACAUUCUCACCCGUAGCGAUGCUUAAGUCCGUCAGAAUCAUGUUAGCAAUAGCUGCAUUUUUCGAUNNNNNNNNNNAGAUCAUGAAACUCCAGUUCAAGUUUCUGUUGAACCACGCAGGUCGACGAGAUCACGCACUGCUCCAGAGUGGUACGGUAAUCCCGUCUUAUCAAUCAUGUUGUUAGACAACAAUGAACCUGCAAAUUAUGAAGAAGCAAUGGUGGGCCCAGAUUCCAACAAAUGGCUAGAAGCCAUGAAAUCCGAGAUAGGAUCCAACAAAAGGCUAUUCAAAACAAAUGGAUCUUUAAGAAGAAGACGGACGCUGACGGUAAUGUGACCGUUUAUAAAGCUUGACUUGUGGCAAAGGAUUUUUCACAAGUUCCACGAGUUGACUACGGUGAGACCUUCUCACCCCUAGCGAUGCUUAAGUCCGUCAGAAUCAUGUUAGCAAUAACUGCAUUUUUUGAUUAGGAAAUCUGGCAGAUGGAUGUCAAAACGGCGUUCCUUAACGGUUUCCUUANNNNNNNNNNNNNNNNNNNNNNNNNNNNNNNNNNNNNNNNNNNNNNNNNNNNNNNNNNNNNNNNNNNNNNNNNNNNNNNNNNNNNNNNNNNNNNNNNNNNGGGAACGUCGCAUGGGAAACAAAAAUUUUCCUACGCGCACGAAGACCUGUCAUGGUGAUGUCCAUCUACGAGAGGGGAUAUUCGAUCUACGUACCCUUGUAGAUCGCACAGCAGAAGCGUUAGUGAACGCGGUUGAUGUAGUGGAACGUCCUCACGUCCCUCGAUCCGCUCCGCGAACCGUCCCGCAAUCAGUCCCACGGUCUAGUGCCGAACGGACGACACCUCCGCGUUCAGCACAUGUACAGCUCGACGAUGAUCUCGGCCUUCUUGAUCCAGCAAGAGAGACGGAGAGGUAGAUGAGUUCUCCGACAGCGUGACGGCGCUCCGUAGGUUGGUGGUGAUUUAAUCUCAGCAGGGCUCCGUCCGAGCUCCGCAGAAACGCGAUCUAGAGGUAAAACUGUGGAGAUAUGUGGUCGGGCUGCCGUGGCAAAGUUGUCUCAAAUCAGCCCUAAAACCUCCGUAUAUAUAGGGGGAAGAGGGGGAUCCUUGCCUUGGGGUCCAAGGACCCUCAAGGGGGUCGGCCGAGCCAAGGCGGGGAGUCCUCCCCUUCCAAACCGAAUCCAACUAGGUUUGGAAGGAGGAGUCCUUCCCCUUUUUCCCACCUCCUCUUUUUUUCUCUUUGAUUUUCUUCCUAUGGCGCAUAGGGCCUUCUUGGGCUGUCCCACCAGCCCACUAAGGGCUGGUGCGCCACCUCCAAGGCCUAUGGGCUUCCCCGGGGUGGGUUGCCCCCCCCCCCCCCGGGAACACCCGGAACCUAUUCGUCAUUCCCGGUACAUUCCCAGUAACUCCGAAAACCUUCCUGUAAUCAAAUGAGGUCAUCCUAUAUAUCAAUCUUCGUUUCCGGACCAUUCCGGAAAUCCUCGUGACAUCCGGGAUCUCAUCCAGGACUCCGAACAACAUUCGGUAACCAACCAUAUAACUCAAAUACGCAUNNNNNNNNNNUCGGUAAUCAUAUGAGGUCAUCCUAUAUAUCAAUCUUCAUUUCCGGACCAUUUUGGAAACCCUCGUGACGUCCGUGAUCUCAUCCGGGACUCCGAACAACAUNNNNNNNNNNNNNNNNNNNNNNNNNNNNNNNNNNNNNNNNNNNNNNNNNNNNNNNNNNNNNNNNNNNNNNNNNNNNNNNNNNNNNNNNNNNNNNNNNNNNUCUAUUUAGGCGAUCCUUGAUCGCAGACAAGUCCCCGAGUGCGACGUUUAGUGCACAUUCGGAGAAAGUUAGUACUUAGGCGAUUCUGGAUCGCGUCUAAGUCCCCGAGUGCGACGUUUAGUGCACACUCGGAGAAAGUUUGUACUUAGGCAAUUCUGGAUCGCACCUAAGUCCCCGAGUGCGACGUUUAGUGCACACUCGAAGGAAGCUUUCUAUUUAGGCGAUUCUUGAUCGUAGACAAGUCCCCGAGUGCGACGUUCAGUGCACAUUCGGAGAAAGUUAGUACUUAGGCGAUUCUGGAUCGCAUCUAAGUCCCCGAGUGCGACGUUUAGUGCACACUCGGAGAAAGUUUGUACUUAGGCAAUUCUGGAUCGCACCUAAGUCCCCGAGUGCGACGUUUAGUGCACACUCGGAGAAAGUUUGUACUUAGGCAAUUCUGGAUCGCACCUAAGUCCCCGAGUGCGACGUCUAGUGCACACUCGGAGGAAGUUUGUACUUAGGCGAUUCUUGAUCGCAGCUAAGUCCCCGAGUGCGACGUUUAGUGCACACUCGGAGAAAGUUUGUACUUAGGCAAUUCUGGAUCGCACCUAAGUCCCCGAGUGCGACGUUUAGUGCACACUCGGAGGAAGUUAGUACUUAGGCGACUCUUGAUCGCAGCUAAGUCCCCGAGUGCGACGUUUAGUGCACACUCGGAGAAAGUUAGUACUUAGGCGACUCUGGAUCGCAGCUAAGUUUUUUUUUUAGACCGGAGUCUGCGACCGCGGAAGAAUUUUGAAUCUGCAAAAACUCAAUCUGCUUUGUAUUACUUCAACGAUACUUGUUCUUUACAUUGCUUCAGUCAACGGUCACGUGUAGAAGCGCUUCAGGAGAUCUCCGUUCCAUGCUCGCGGCUCGUCUGUUUCCCUGUCGAGGUUGUAGAGUCGAUAUGCUCCGUUGUUCAGCACCUUGGAGAUGAUGAAGGGUCCUUCCCAGGCGGGAGCCAACUUGUGAGGUCUCUGCUGAUCCACUCGGAGCACCAGGUCGCCUGCUUGGAAUGUACGACUCCUGACGUGUCGCGCGUGAAAGCGCCGCAGAUCUUGUUGAUAAAUGGUUGAGCGAGUCAGUGCCAUCUCGCGCUCCUCCUCUAGAAGAUCAACUCCGUCUUGCCUUGCUUGCUCUGCUUCAGCUUCGGAGAAGAGUUCAACUCGUGGAGCGUUGUGAAGCAAGUCACUCGGAAGGACUGCCUCUGCUCCGUAAACGAGGAAGAACGGGGAUCGCUCUGUAGAUCUAUUUGGGGUUGUGCGGAGACCCCAAAGCACCGAAGGUAGCUCGGUGACCCAUGCGCCGGCGACAUGUCCCACUUCUCGCAGGAGUCGAGGCUUCAAACCUUGCAGAAUAAGUCCAUUCGCCCGCUCUGCUUGCCCGUUUGUUUGGGGAUGUGCCACAGAUGCAAAAUCCACACGGAUACCUUGGCCUGUACAGAAACCUUUGAAUUUGUCCGAAUCAAAGUUUGUUCCAUUGUCAGUGAUUAUGCUGUGAGGUACCCCGAAUCUGGAGAUGAUGUCCCUGACAAACUUGAUGGCCGUAAGGGCGUCGAGUUUCUUGAUGGGCUUGGCUUCAAUCCACUUUGUGAACCUAUCGACUGCCACCAACAGAUGUGUGAAUCCCCCUAGGCCUGUCCUGAAUGGACCGACUGUAUCUAAUCCCCAUACUGCAAACGACCAAACAAGAGGGAUUGUCUUCAACGCAGAUGUUGGCUUGUGGGACUUGUUAGAGUAGAACUGACAACCUUCACAUCGGUCGACCAUUUCAUUCGCCUGUAGCCAGAAGAAGCCAGCUCUGAAUGCUUUGGCGACGAUUGCCCUUGAGGAGGCGUGAUGACCGCAGGUUCCCGAGUGAAUUUCUUCUAGGAUUAACUGUCCCUCCUCAGGGGAGAUGCAUCGUUGAAGGACGCCUGAAACGCUUUCCUUGUACAAUUGGCCAUCAAUGACAGUGAACGACUUUGAUAUGCGGACGAUCUGUCUGGCUUGGACUUCGUCUUCUGGUAAUUCUUGCCUCAGGAUGUAUGCAAUGAACGGCACAGUCCAAUCAGGGAUGAUAGCAAGAAUCUCCAUGAUCAAAUCAACCACAGCGGGGACUUCGACCUCAGUCGGAUCUGUCGAGCUCUUUGGUUGUAUUGGUUCCUCCGUGAAAGGAUCUUCUUUAACUGAGGGAAGGUGACGGUGCUCGAGGCAGACGUCACUCGGGACUGGUCUCCGAGUGGAUCCGAGUUUCGCCAAUUCAUUAGUUGCUUGGUUUUUCAGUCGCGGAACAUGGUGGAGUUCCAGACCUUCAAACUUUUUCUCGAGCUUCCUCACCGCAUUGCAGUAUGUGGUCAUGGUGGGAUUCCUGACGUCCCACUCCUUCAUCACUUGAUUAACCACCAAAUCCGAAUCGCCAUAGACCAUCAGGCGACGGACGCCGAAUGCGAUGGCCAUGCGCAGUCCAUAAAGGAGAGCUUCAUAUUCUGCCUCGUUGUUGGAGGAAUCAAAGUGUAUUUGCAACACAUACUUGAGUUUGUCACCUUUUGGCGAUAUGAUCACAACGCCAGCGCCGGAGCCAUUCAACAUCUUGGAACUAUCGAAGAACAUUGUCCAAUGAGCCGAGUAGAUGUGGGUCGGUUGCUGUUGUUCUACCCAUUCUGCUAUGAAGUCAGCCAGAGCUUGAGACUUUAUAGCUUUCUUGGCCUCGAACUUGAUGUCGCAGUAUAACAUCUCCAUUGCCCACUUCGCCACUCUGCCCGAUGCGUCCCGAUUGUGUAGGAUUUCCGAUAACGGAGCAUCAGAAAUGACAGACACCGAGUGGUCUUGGAAAUAAUGAGCCACCUUCUUCACAGUCAUGUAAAUCCCAUAGAUAAGUUUUUGAUAGUGGGGAUACCUCUGCUUGGAAGGAGUUGGGACUUCGGAGACAUAAUACACUGGCCGCUAAACCUUGUAUGCUUUGCCUUCUUCUUCCCGUUCGACUGUGAGAACAGUGUUGACGACUUGAUUUGUAGCCGCGAUGUACAGAAGAAGGGGUUCUUUACUGAGCGGAGCAGUAAGAACCGGCUGGGUGGAAAGUAGGACUUUGAGGUCGUCGAAUGCGAUUUGGGCUUCGUCUGUCCACUCGAAAGUAUCUGAUUUCUUCAUGAGUCGGUACAGAGGAAGUGCCUUCUCGCCGAGUCGAGUGAUAAACCUGCUCAAAGCCGCUAGGCAACCUGUGAGCCUUUGAACAUCGUGUAUUCUGACCGGCCGCUCCAUUCGGACGAUGGUCCCGAUCUUUUCGGGGUUGACAUCGAUCCCUCGUUCGGAAACGAAGAAACCGAGUAACUUUCCGCUGGGAACGCCGAAUGAACACUUGGCUGGGUUGAGCUUGAUAUCGUACCUACGAAGGUUAGCGAAUGUUUCUGCCAAGUCAGUCAGCAGGUUGGAACCUUUGCAUGACUUGACUACGAUAUCAUCCAUAUACGCCUCCACAUUCUGACCGAUCUGGUCAAGGAGGCAUUUUUGGAUCAUGCGCAUAAAGGUUGCUCCUGCAUUCUUCAAACCAAAUGGCAUAGUGAUGUAGCAGAAGCACCCUAAUGGGGUGAUGAAGGCUGUUUUUAAUUCAUCGGGGCCAUACAGACGGAUCUGAUGAUAGCCCGAGUAGGCAUCAAGGAACGACAAACGCUCGCAACCCGCAGUCGAAUCAACAAUUUGAUCGAUGCGGUGGAGCGGAAAAUGGUCUUUUGGGCAGACCUUAUUGAGAUGCUUGAAGUCGAUGCACAUUCGGAGCGACUUGUCCUUCUUGGGCACCAUGACAACAUUGGCGAGCCACUCGGAGUGGUGUACGUCGCGAAUGAAGUUGGCUGCCAAAAGCUUAGCCACCUCUUCUCCGAUUGCCUUCCUCUUGUGCGCGGCGGACCGACGCAGGCGUUCUCGGACAGGCCGAGCGGCGGGAUCCACAUGCAGUCGGUGCUCAGCCAACUCCCUGGGUACACCUGGCAUGUCAGCGGGCUUCCAUGUGAAGAUGUCCCUGUUCUCACGGAGGAAUUGGAUGAGAUCGGCUUCCUAUUUAGGAUCGAGGGUGGUGGAGAUGUUUGUCUGGGCAGCGGUGUCGUCCGUCGGGUGGAUGAUGACCUUCUUCGUCUCUCCCGCUGACUGGAAUGCGGACUCCAAAGCUGGCUUCUUCGAACGCAUGAAGUCAGCGGGGUCGACUGUCUUCUUGUACUCGUCAAGCUCGAGGACAGCCAUCUGCUAAUCGGCGAUCCUCGAUACCUGCUGCAGACACUCCUCGGCCCGUUGCCGAUUGCCUGUGAUAGUGAUCACACCUUUUGGGCAUGGCAUCUUUAGCUUCAGGUACACGUAACAUGGGCGGGCCAUGAAACGCUCAUACGCCGGGCGGCCCAGAAUUGCGUGGUACGCACUCUGGAAGUCCACCACCUCGAACGUCUGCUUUUCCUUGCGGAAAUUCUUGUCGGAGCCGAAGACGACAUCCAACGCGAUCUGGCCGAGUGACUUGGCCUUUUGUCCAGGGACGACUCCAUGGAACUGCAUGCUGCUCUCACUAAGUUUGGACAUCGGAAUGCCCAUCCCCUUGAGAGUGUCAGCGUACAUGAUGUUCAAGCCACUGCCGCCGUCCAUGAGGACUUUGCGCAGUCGGACUCCUUCCACCACCGGGUCGACGACCAGAGCCUCCUCCCUGGGGUGGGUACGUGCGCUGGAUGAUCCGACUGGUCAAAGGUGAUCGCAGUCUGAGACCAUUUGAGGAACGUAGGGUUGGUCGGUGUGGCCAUGUUCACCUCCCUGUUCACCAGCUUCAGUCGACUCUUGCUCUCAACGUCAGCAAAAAUCAUCAGUGUUGCAUGGACUUGGGGGAACGGAUCCUCCUUGUCCUCCUCAUCCUGUUCAUUGUCCUUUUCACUCGGUUGUCCUUCGCCGAACCCCUGGAUCAGGAGGCGACAUUGCCGAGUGGUAUGCUUCGGAUAUAUGGCGUUGCCCUCUUCAUCCACCUUCGUGUGAAUUGGACAUGGCUGGUCCAGGAUGGGGUUUCCGAACUGCUUCUUCUUGGGGGUGAACUGAGCCUUCCCCUUGCCCUUGAAUUUGGCAUUGGUAACGGCUGCGGCCUCUGCCUGCGGAGUGGACGGAGCUUUUUUGCUUCUGCUUCCGAGUGCUAUUCCCAUCUCCAUCGGCGACUGCUUUGUGCUUGCCGCUAUGAAUGCGGUCCUCUUCUUCACCAUUUGCAUAGCGUGCCGCUAUCUCCAUCAUCUUACUCAUGGAGAUGUCGCCUGUUCGACCGAACUUCAGGUACAAAUCUCUGUACCGCACGCCUGCCUUGAAGGCGCAGACUACUUGGUGUUCUGUGACGUUCUCCACCGUGUGGUAGAGGGUCGUCCAACGCUGAAUGAAAUCGCGCAGGGGCUCAUUCUGCUUCUGGACACAGUGUUGGAGCUCCACGAGGCCAGCAGGGCGUUUGCACGUCCCUUCGAAGGUCCUGAUGAAGACUCGGGCCAGAUCUGCCCAGCUGUAGAUGCUUGAGGGAGCCAACUGGUUCAGCCACGCUCGUGCCGAGCCGUCGAGCAUCAGAGGGAGGUGUUUCAUGGCGACGUGGUCGUCCCCUCCUCCGAUCUGGACUGCCACUCGGUAGUCGUCCAGCCACGUUUUUGGCUUGGAUUCUCCUGUAAACUUGCUGAUCCCCGUCGCCAAUCGGAAGUUGGGAGGGAUGUCAGCCGAACGGAUGGCUCGACUGAAACACUCGGGACCAGAGACGAUGGCCCUGCUUCCACUCGGACGGUCCAUAUCGUGACCAUCGCGGUGGGCUCGGCCCCUGUCAACCCUCCUCUGGGCGAUAUGCCCUCUCGCGUCGGGCCUUGGAUCAUAAGUGUCACCGACUGAACGCCGAUCAUCAUGAUGUCGGGGCCCGUAGGGCCCACCCCGCGGAGGGGUGCGUGAGCGGCGACGAUCUUCGGGAUUCAUGGAACGGCUACCUCCCCUGUGUCGCUGAUGAGAACCGGGGCUAUGAACUGACCGAUGUGUGUUCGCAUGAACAGAACUAUUGUGAAUCCUAUUGUGCGACUGGGAGACCGCCGAAUUUUGCUGCUGCGUCGUGUGCAGCAGGGCACGGAUUUGCUCGAUCCCUCUACCAGCCUCUGAAUCAGUCGGCUGGAGAGAAUCGGCUAUCUUGGCGGCGGCAGCCAGGUUGAGGACGGGUGUGCGGAACACCUCCACGUUGCUCCGCCGAGUGUGCCGACUGGAAUAACGGCGGGGCUGACGGCGAGCGUCGGAUGUUUCGCCGACCUCGUGCUCGUUCCGGCCAGUUUGGCGAGGACUUUCAUGGGAGUUGGCCAUGUGCACUUCAGCUGCAGGCCCGCGACCCAAGUACUCGGAAGGAAACUCAGUCGGAACUGAGUCCGAGCGCUGGGAUUGCGGCGCAACCACAACCGACUCUAGGACCGCCACUUGUGAGGACGCGUUCUAGCGCGCCUGGGCAUGUUGCACCCAACGCUGGAGCCGCGGACGGCGGGACCGCUUGUUGCGGCGCGUGACGGCGAUGUAGGUCGACACCGGAGCCGACUGCUGGAGAAGAAGAAUACCGCGGGCGCCGGCACAGAAGUGCGUAGCCCCGCGACUGGGGAGCGCCUCGACGUCGAGAGGGGCAUCCCGAAGCCAUGCCGAAUCGUCGACGAUGAAGGAGAGAGCGCCGAAGAGGAUCUCGUGACCCAUGCUCAGAUCUCCACCGGAUGACAUGAUGAAAAGAUGUAGUCGCAAACUCGCCGGAAGUCGCUUAGACGCCUGCCCCGCGGUGGGCGCCAACUGUCGUGGAUAUAAAUCUGACAAUAGAUGUGUAGGGUACGAAAGGAUGGGCAGAGCCUUAGCUACGGCGAGGUUGUAUGAGUUCAGGCCCCUCUACGGUGGACGUAAAAGCCCUACGUCUCGGUGCUCUUGGGAGCUUGUUGUCGAGUGGAAUGUGGAUUACAGUGAAUUGCUAACCCCUGCACCAGUGGGGAAGGGCGGCUUAUAUAGAGUGCGCUACCCUUCACAACGGUUCGGUGCACAGGGGUGGAGUAGUGGUGAAUAAUUGCGUACGUUACAGGUAACGUAUGUCUUAAUUGCUAAUAAAGGUACAUGGAAACGUAUGACGGUUACCCUCCAGGGGGGUUACGAUGUACAGAGUGGAAUCCAGUCGGUAAGUUUGAUAUGCUCCGAAUGAUCAUCUCCGACUGGAUGAUGGAGGAAUCGUCACCGACUGGAUGAUAGGAAGUCCUUAAUUCAGUCGGAACUGACUAAGGGCCUUAUCCCUUAUGAAGGGUAGUCCUUGGGUAGGACCCAUAGGGCAGGCCUAUGACCCUACCCUAGGACUAUAACCCCAUCAGUUGUCAUUUAAUUCAUUGAGCAAGUCAUUCUGAGCUUUAAGUACUUGUUCUACCUGAGUAGUAAUCAUAGAGGCAUGUUUACUCACAAGCUUUAGAUCAUUGACAUUUCUGUCUACACAAGCACUUAAAUGGCUAAGCAUACAAGUACUUUGUUCCAAAUGUCUGCUAACAUGAUCAUUGAAACUCUGCUGUUUGGCAACAAAGUUGUCAAAUUCAUCAAAGCAUAGGCUAGCAGGUUUGUCAAAAGGAAUAUCACUCUCAUCAAACCUACACAGAGAAUUCACUUCUACUACUUGUAUCGGGUUAUCGAGACCAUGGAUCUCUUCGAUAGGUGGUAGAUUUUUGACAUCUUCAGAUCUAAUGCCUUUCUCUUGCAUAGAUUUCUUGGCUUCUUGCAUAUCUUCGGGACUGAGGAGUAGAAUGUUGGAAUUAUGCCCUAGAGGCAAUAAUAAAUAUAGUUAUUAUUAUANNNNNNNNNNNNNNNNNNNNNNNNNNNNNNNNNNNNNNNNNNNNNNNNNNNNNNNNNNNNNNNNNNNNNNNNNNNNNNNNNNNNNNNNNNNNNNNNNNNNCCGGAAUGGUCCGGAAACGAAGAUUGAUAUAUAGGAUGACCUCAUUUGGUUACCGGAAGGUUUUCGUGCAUUACCGGAAAAGUUUCGGGCUCAUCGGUAGUGUACCGGGAGUGCCGGGAGGGGUGCCGGGGACCACCGGGAGGGGUGUCACGCCCCAAGGGGUCUCAUGGGCUAUGGGAAGAGAUAAACCAGCCCCUGGUGGGCUGGAAUAAGUUCCCACUAAGGCCCAUAAGGUUUGAGAAGGAAAAACACAAGGUGGAAAGAGUUUCCAAGUGGGAAGGUGGAAUCCUACUCCAAGUAGGAUUGGAGUAGGACUCCUCCACCUCCAGUUUCGGCCAAACCUUUAGGUUUUGAGGCUGCCUCCUCCCCUCCCUCCCACCUAUAUAUACGGAGGUUUUAGGGCUGAUUUGAGACGACGUUUCCACGGCAGCCCGACCACAUACCUCCNNNNNNNNNNCCGGAGCUCGGGCGGAGCCCUGCUGAGACAAGGUCAUCAUCAACCUCCGGAGCGCCGUUACGCUGCCGGAGAACUCUUCUACCUCUCCGUCUCUCUUGCUGGAUCAGGAAGGCCGAGAUCAUCGUCGAGCUGUACGUGUGCUGAACGCGGAGGUGNNNNNNNNNNNNNNNNNNNNNNNNNNNNNNNNNNNNNNNNNNNNNNNNNNNNNNNNNNNNNNNNNNNNNNNNNNNNNNNNNNNNNNNNNNNNNNNNNNNNUACAGUUCUGGUGUUGAUCAUGCUUUGGCCGUGGAAGAGGUUUAGUCAACGGGUCUGCUACAUUCAGAUCCGUGUGCACUUUGCAUAUAUUUACGUCCUCUCCCUCGACGUAGUCGCGGAUGAGGUUGAAGCGUCGUUUGAUGUGUCUGGUCUUCUAGUGAAACCGUGGUUCCUUUGCUAAGGCAAUGGCACCCGUGUUAUCACAGAACAAGGUUAUUGGAUUCAGUGCGCUUGGCACCACUCCAAGAUCCGUCAUGAACUGCUUCAUCCAGACACCCNNNNNNNNNNACCCAUACAGUUCUGGUGUCGAUCAUGUUUUGGCCGUGGAAGAGGUUUAGUCAGCGGGUCUGCUACAUUCAGAUCCGUGUGCACCUUGCAUAUAUUUACGUCCUCCUCCUCGACGUAGUCGCGGAUGAGGUUGAAGCGUCGUUUGAUGUGUCUGGUCUUCUUGUGAAACCUUGGUUCCUUUGCCAGAGCAAUGGCACCAGUGUUGUCACAGAACAAGGUUAUUGGAUCCAGUGCACUUGGCACCACUCCAAGAUCCGUCAUGAACUGCUUCAUCCAGACACCCNNNNNNNNNNUGCACCAGCUUACCGCACCCCCAUUAAGAAUAAAUACGUAUCUGGUUUGCGACUUAGAGUCGUCCGGAUCUGUGUCAAAGCUUGCAUCGACGUAACCUUUUACGGCGAGCUCUUCGUCACCUCCAUACACGAGAAACAUCUCCUUAAUCCUUUUCAGGUACUUCAGAAUAUUCUUGACCGCUGUCCAGUGAUCCACUCCUGGAUUACUCUGGAACNNNNNNNNNNAUGCACCAGCUUACUGCACCCCCAUUAAGAAUAAAUACGUAUCCGGUUUGCGACUUAGAGUUGUCCGGAUCUGUGUCAAAGCUUGCAUCGACGUAACCUUUUACGGCGAGCUCUUCGUCACCUCCAAACACGAGAAACAUCUCCUUAGUCCUUUUCAGGUACUUCUGGAUAUUCUUGACCGCUGUCCAGUGAUCCACUCCUGGAUUACUCUGGAACCUACCUGCCAUACUUAUGGCCAGGCUAACAUCCGGUCUAGUGCAAAGCAUCGCAUACCAUGAUAGAACCUAUGGCUGAAGCAUAGGGGACGGAGCGCAUAUGCUCUCUAUCUUCAUCAGUUGCUGGGCACUGAGUCUUACUCAAUAUCGUACCUUGUAAAACUGGCAAGAAAGCCUUCUUGGACUGUUCCAUUUUGAACCUCUUCAAAACUUUAUCAAGGUAUNNNNNNNNNNGCUCUUACCCCUCUCUCGUUGCUGGUCUCUCCAUAGGAAGAUCUGAACAUGCGUAGGAAAAUUUUGAAUUUAUGCUACGUUUCCCAACAAGAGCUCCCACUCACUUUCUUGUAAAUACAAGAUUCUCCAACCACUUGUAUAAACCCAAAUGCUUUGAUCACCUCAUCAAAGCGUUUGUUCCAACUCCGAGAUGCUUGCACCAGUCCAUAAAUGGAUCGCUGGAGCUUUCACACCUUGUCAGCAUUUUUAGGAUCGACAAAACCUUCGGGNNNNNNNNNNGUGCUUUGUGAAAGUCCUAUCAGGCGUUUUGAUCUAUCCCUAUAGAUCUUAAUGCCUAGAAUGUAAGCAGCUUCUUCUAGGUCCUUCAUAGAGAAACUUUUAUUCAAGUAAUCCUUUAUGCUCUCCAAAAACUCUACGUUGUUUCCAAUCAGCAAUAUGUCAUCCACAUAUAAUAUUAGAAACGCNNNNNNNNNNUCCUUUAUGAUCUCCAAAAACUCUAUGUUGUUUCCAAUCAGCAAUAUGUCAUCCACAUAUAAUAUUAGAAACGCNNNNNNNNNNAUAAUCGAAAAAUGCAGCUAUUGCUAACAUGAUUCUGACGGACUUAAGCAUUGCUACGGCUGAGAAAGUCUCAUCGUAGUCAACUCCUUGAACUUGUGGAAAACCCUUUGCCACAAGUCGAGCUUUAUAAACGGUCACAUUGCCGUCAGCGUCCGUCUUCCUCUUAAAGAUCCAUUUUUUCUGAAUGGCCUUGCGGCCCUCAGGUAGUACCUCCAAAGUCCACAAUUUGUUCUCAUACAUGGAUCCUAUCUCGGAUUUCAUGGCCUCUAGCCAUUUGUUGGAAUCUGGGCCCACCAUUGCUUCUUCGUAAUUUGCAGGUUCAUUGUUGUCUAACAACAUGAUUGAUAAGAUGGGAUUACCGUACCACUCUGGAGCAGCACGUGGUCUCGUCGACCUGCGNNNNNNNNNNUUCAUACAUGGAUCCUAUCUCGGACUUCAUGGCCUCUAGCCAUUUGUUGGAAUGUGGGCCCACCAUUGCUUCUUCAUAAUUUGGAGGUUCAUUGUUGUCUAACAACAUGAUUGACAAAACGGGAUUACCGUACCACUCUGGAGCAGCACGUGGUCUCGUCGACCUGCGUGGUUCGACAGGAACUUGAACCGGAGUUUCAUGAUCAUUAUCAUUAACUUCCUCCUCAACCGGCGUCGAGAUGACAGAGGUUUCCCCUUGCCCCGCGCCACCAUCUAGAGGGAUGAGAGGUUCGACAACCUCAUCAAGUUCUAUCUUCCUCCCACUCAAUUCUCUCGAGAGAAACUCCUUCUCGAGAAAAGCUCUGUUUUUAGCAACAAACACUUUGCCCUCGGAUUUGAGAUAGAAGGUGUACCCAACUGUCUCUUUUGGGUAACCUAUGAAGAUGUACUUUUCCGCUUUGGGUUCCAGCUUUUCAGGCUGAAGCUUUUUGACAUAAGCAUCACAUCCCCAAACUUUAAGAAACGACACCUUUGGCCUUUUGCCAUACCACAGUUCGUAUGGUGUCAUCUCAACGGAUUUUGAUGGUGCCCUAUUUAAAGUGAAUGCAGCUGUUUCUAAUGCAUAACCCCAAAACAAUAACGGCAAAUCGGUAAGAGACAUCAUAGAUCGCACCAUCUCUAGUAAAGUACGAUUACGAUGUUCGGACACACCAUUACGCUGUGGUGUUCCAGGCGGUGUCAACUAUGAAACAAUUCCACAUUGUCUUAAGUGAGCACCAAACUCGAAACUCAGNNNNNNNNNNCUAACAAAGUACGAUUACGACGUUCGGACACACCAUUACGCUGUGGUGUUCCACGCGGUGUUAAUUGUGAAACAAUUCCACAUUGUCUUAAGUGAGCACCAAACUCGAAACUCAGAUAUUCACCCCCACGAUCAGACCGUAGGAACUUGAUCUUCUUGUUACGAUGAUUUUCAACUUCACUCUGAAAUUGCUUGAACUUUUCAAAUGUUUCAGACUUGUGCNNNNNNNNNNAUAAUAAAGUACGAUUACGAAGUUCGGACACACCAUUACGCUGUGGUGUUCCAGGCGGUGUUAACUGUGAAACAAUUCCACAUUGUCUUAAGUGAGUACCAAACUCGAAACUCAGAUAUUCACCCCCACGAUCAGACCGCAGGAACUUGAUCUUCUUGUUACGAUGAUUUUCCACUUCACUCUGAAAUUGCUUGAACUUUUCAAAUGUUUCAGACUUGUGCNNNNNNNNNNNNNNNNNNNNNNNNNNNNNNNNNNNNNNNUCGCAGGAACUUGAUCUUCUUGUUAUGAUGAUUUUCCACUUCACUCUGAAAUUGCUUGAACUUUUCAAACGUUUCAGACUUGUGCUUCAUCAAGUAGACAUAACCAUAUCUACUUAAAUCGUUAGUGAAGGUGAGGAAAUAACGAUAUCCGCCGCGUGCCUCCACGCUCAUUGGGCCACACACAUCGGUAUGUAUGAUUUCCAACAAGUCACUUGCACGCUCCAUUGUUNNNNNNNNNNNNNNNNNNNNNNNNNNNNNNNNNNNNNNNNNNNNNNNNNNNNNNNNNNNNNNNNNNNNNNNNNNNNNNNNNNNNNNNNNNNNNNNNNNNNAAUGGUCCGGAAACGAAGAUUGAUAUAUAGGAUGACCUCAUUUGAUUAUCGGAAGGUUUUUGGAGUUACCGGGAAUGUACCGGGAAUGACGAAUGGGUUCUGGGUGUUCAUCAGGGGGGUGUUGGGGAACGUUGCAUGGGAAACAAAAAAUUUCCUACGCGCACGAAGACCUAUCAUGGUGAUGUCCAUCUACGAGAGGGGAUGAGUGAUCUACGUACCCUUGUAGAUCGUACAGCAGAAGCGUUAGUGAACGCGGUUGAUAUAGUGGAACGUCCUCACGUCCCUCGAUCCGCCCCGCCAACAAUCCCGCGAUCAGUCCCACGAUCUAGUACCGAACGGACGACACCUCCGCGUUCAGCACACGUACAGCUCGACGAUGAUCUCGGCCUUCUUGAUCCAGCAAGAGAGACGGAGAGGUAGAAGAGUUCAACGGCAGCGUGACGGCGCUCCGGAGGUUGGUGAUGACCUUGUCCCAGCAGGGCUCCGCCCGAGCUCCGCAGAAACGCGAUCUAGAGGAAAAANNNNNNNNNNNNNNNNNNNNNNNNNNNNNNNNNNNNNNNNNNNNNNNNNCGGUGAUGACCUUGUCCCAGCAGGGCUCCGCCCGAGCUCCGUAGAAACGCGAUCUAGAGGAAAAACCGUGGAGGUAUGUGGUCGGGCUGCCGUGGAAACGUCGUCUCAAAUCAGCCCCAAUACCUCCGUAUAUAUAGGUGGGAGGGAGGGGACCUUGCCUUGGGGCUCAAGGAGCCCCAAGGGGGGAAGGCUCCCCCCCAAACCGAGUUGGACUUGGUUUGGUGGGUGGGAGUCCUUCCCUUCCUUCCCACCUCCCUUUUUUUCUUUCUCUUUGAUUUUUCUUUGUAUGGCACAUAGGGCCCUUUUGGGCUGUCCCACCAGCCUGUUGGGGAACGUCGCAUGGGAAACAAAAAUUUUCCUACGCGCACGAAGACCUAUCAUGGUGAUGUCCAUCUACGAGAGGGGAUGAGUGAUCUACGUACCCUUGUAGAUCGUAUAGCAGAAGCGUUAGUGAACGCGGUUGAUGUAGUGGAAUGUCCUCACGUCCCUCGAUCCGCCCCGCGAACAAUCCCGCGAUCAGUCCNNNNNNNNNNUCUUUCUCUUUGAUUUUUCUUUGUAUGGCGCAUAGGGCCCUUUUGGGCUGUCCCACCAGCCCACUAAGGGCUGGUGCGCCACCCUCAUGGCCUAUGGGCUUCCCCGGGGUAGGUUGCCCCCCCGGUGAACUCCCGAAAUCCAUUCGUCAUUCCCGAUACAUUCCCGGUAACUCCGAAAACCUUCCGGUAAUCAAAUGAGGUCAUCCUAUAUAUCAAUCUUCGUUUCCGGACUAUUCCGGAAACCCUCGUGACGUCCGUGAUCUCAUCCGGGACUCCGAACAACAUUCGGUAACCAACCAUAUAACUCAAAUACGCAUAAAACAACGUCGAACCUUAAGUGUACAUACCCUGCCGGUUCGAGAACUAUGUAGACAUGACCCGAGAGACUGCUCGAUCAAUAUCCAAUAGCGGUACUUGGAUGCCCAUAUUGGAUCCUACAUAUUCUACGAAGAUCUUAUCGUUUGAACCUCAGUUCCAAGGAUUCAUAUAAUCCCGUAUGUCAUUCCCUUUGUCCUUCGGUUUGUUACUUGCCCGAGAUUCGAUCGUCAGUAUCCGUAUACCUAUUUCAAUCUCGUUUACCGACAAGUCUCUUUACUCGUUCCGUNNNNNNNNNNACGGAAACCCUCGUGACAUACGUGAUCUCAUCCGGGACUCCGAACAACAUUCGGUAACCAACCAUAUAACUCAAAUACGCAUAAAACAACGUCGAACCUUAAGUGUACAUACCCUGCGGGUUCGAGAACUAUGUAGACAUGACCCGAGUGACUCCUCGGUCAAUAUCCAAUAGCGGGACCUGGAUGCCCAU
rnacentral:lncRNA from 1 species